rnacentral:lncRNA from 1 species
CUCCUGCGUAGCUCACAGGAACUUUACUCCGUUUACUCUUUACUCUGUUCUGGAGAUCUCGCUGAUGGCGGAAAUGCAGUUGUUCUUUUGUGAUGCUCGAAAGAAGGUCGAAAUGCAAAACCGGGUUCGUUGGCCUUUCGAAGUCACCAUAUUUGCUGGAGGAAGGGAAACAGCGGAGCGAUACUCUCACGGAAUUUGGUUCGAAUGGACACGCGGUCUGAAACAUUGAGACCCCCCCCCCCCCCCCCCCAGUACAUUUUAUCAAUGCACAUAUACAAUAUACCGUAUAUGUGUGUUAUGCCGUAAGGGAGGGGACGUGACUAUUGAUACGUGGACAAGUACGAAAACAUGGCACCGGUGACAGCUGUGCGUCUCAGCUGAGCGCAAAGACAAAGGACGAGUGUUGAGACGGUGUGCAGAGGACAAAUGGCAGGUAACACAGAGAUAUGGAGAGCAAAGGAGUCCAGGGGACAGCACCCUUGGCUAGAUAACAGCAGUCCCAUGUCAUACGCAGCAUGAUUCAAGAAGACAAAAGACAAAAAGUCUGCUUCGUCAUCAGUUUUCUCUCCCAGUACAUGUGGAGACACGUCGGCCGAUUUCCCAAAUCUGGACUGAAUGUUGCUCUUUCCUCUCUUCACUUCUCCCUCCGUGUUCCUCCGUUUUUUUCUUCCCACAGGCCUCUCUGCUCCUUCCCCCGUUGACUUCCGCGAAGAUGGUGAAGAGCGACCGAGGUGCGAGGGGCUGCUUCUUGUAUGGCAGAGGGAGAGGACAGGCGCCACGUAAGCCUGGGUGGUGUCUCGCUGCACAGGAACGUCUAGGCUGGAAGUGGCCCGUGUGCCCACCGUGCUCUUGGCUCGGAAGAGUGAGCGCUGCCCGAGAAAAAGGUGUGUUGUGUCACACUCAUUAUUGAAACAAAUAACCGAGUAGUUGCUAUGGCGAGCGCUCCUUGGCCGCACCGUCUCCCCGUUUCUCGCGCUGUGACACACACACGGCGCCCGGUUGCCGCACACGAACCCGCAUUUUCUUUCAGCUGCUACAUCAGGCAAAGUCAUGCAGUAGAUUAACCAGCAGCCCCUCUGCACUCUCUCUUUCUUGUGUGUGUGUGUGUGUGUGUGUGUGUGUGUGUGUUACAUGCAGGAGUAGGAAGUUCCCACUGUAGCAGUUACACUGUGCUCUUUUUGUGUGUGUGUGUG